CCAAGGAUGUUUUCAUUAAUCAAGAACGAAAGUUAGGGGAUCGAAGACGAUCAGAUACCGUCGUAGUCUUAACCAUAAACGAUGCCGACCAGCGAUUAGGAGACGUUGAAUACAAAACACCACCAUCGGUGCGGUCGUCCUUGGCGUCUCGGUCCUUCACGGGGCCGGGGCGCGGGGGUGGCUUAGCCCGGUGGCACCGGUGAAU
rnacentral:rRNA from 2 species